AUUGCUAAUGAUGAACAACUUACUUUCGCCCCUAACUGAAAAAAUAAAAAUUUUUGUGUUGAAUGCGAUUUGAUUGGUCUUACUGAGUAGUUAAU